AACCGGAAGUAGAUAUAGUGGUUCAAGGCAAAUAGGUUUUCUACAGUCUAUGGUUUUCUAUACUUCCCUGAAACAUGAUAACUACAGAAGUAUGAUGCAUUUCUAUGCAUCGGACGGUGUAAAGACGGUGCGCGAUCCUUGAACAUUUUACAAGUAGCUCAUGCUUCUUUGACAGAGCCUGUCUGACCUGCUGCAGCUGUCUGCUUCACCAUGCCGCUGGUGUUGGACGCAGUGUGGGCGCUGUGGAGCAUUGGAGCUGGCGUCUAUGACUACUUUCACACCAGUGCCAUGGAAGAGAGGAUCCACACACUGGAAAACGUCCUCUCGAUCCACCAGUUUGUGAUUGCAGGCCUGUCGGCAGGCCUCAUCCUGCUCAUAACCUACGUACUCUGGAGAAAACACUGAAACCCCACUAACCAAGGCCAAACUCCCCCCUACAAAAUGUUUUGUUGCAGGAUAUCAUGCGUUACCCAGAGUUCUUUCCAUGCCUGUGCUGUCCAGAGUGACAGUUUGGAUUAUGUGACUGCUCACACUUGAAGAUCAAGCAUGUUCAGCAACAAUCAGGACGUCCCAAAUGACGUCAGGAGCACUGAUGGGAAACAACAAAGCUCCAUAAGGACGCUGUACCCUCUUGGUUGUGGCCAGCUUGGUUUAUCUAUCCCUCUGUCUGUUUGUCUCUGUGUUUUGGAUGUUAAACUGGCCUGGGUAAAACUUUAUACAAAAUCAUAACUGCUUCUCAAGACAACUUUGCACUUUUUUGCCUAGCUUGAAGGACUUAACCCUCGAUAAUGCCAUCCAUUUAAACACCACCCCAGUGUGUGAUGAGGAGCGAAGAUGUUCAGUCAGCUGAGACACUUUAGAAUUUAAAACUCGUUGCUAAAAGUCGUUAAUUUUUUUUUAACCCGUUAUCACAAGAUCACAACAUAAUUACCUCAAGAUCAACUGUUUUUUCAUGUUUACAAAUUACAUUUUUUUUUUAAUAUCACAUCUUUUUCUGUAGUGCUUAUUAAUUUAUCUUGGGGCAUUAACCUGGGAUACUUACGUCCUUAUCUCAUUGUCUUGACAUAACUUAUAUCACAACUUAAUUUCCUCUAUCUUGAGAUAAUGGUGGUCAUAAGAUAUGUGUGACUGUGUAGAUAAGUCUUUUAUUAGGACGUAUUUAGACUUUGAAGUCUACUACUGAAAGAAAAUAGCAUUAAAGUUAAAUCUCUCUCAGAAUAUUAGGCCUAAAAAACAAAACAAUUAAGUUGUGACCUCGAAACAGCAGGCUUAAAUAAAAUAUUAACGCUGAUGGACGCUCUCUGUUUUAAUAAUCCCUCACUAUCUGUUUGGGGGGGGGGAAUGAUUCCAUCCUGUACUAGAAGUAAAUAGUGUAGGUUGUGUCUUCUCUAAUAGGUUUAAAUUGGGUGAGGAUGUCAAUGGUGCGUUUUACCUUUUUAAAGUUGGUGUCGGGUCAUGAUGUUUCAGAGACACAGCAGUGCUUUGAUGGGAAUGUGUGUCUGGUGUGGUCUGCAUUCAGCACAUCAAACAUGCGUCUGAGCUGUGAGAGGGACAGACAGUGGUUCAUUAUUAUCCUGUUGUUCUAGGUGACAGACCUGGAACAACAGGAUAAGCACAAUAAAAGACUAAAGAAAUGUAAACACUGGGAAAUGAAUGUGUCCUUCCAUGCUAAGGGGAAGGGAUUGAAGAUGUAGGAUGGAGGUCAAUGCGUUUUAUGUGUGUUUUAAUUCGUCUAUGUUUACAUGUUCCAGAACACUGUUUCCAGUCUGUCAUUCAAAUUUCUUGUAUCAUGUUUGUGUUAAAAAAAAAAGUCUAAUGAUUUAAUCCAGUAUCGUUUACUUUCACUACCUGCUUUCUCUCUGGGGUUCAUUCAUUGUGUAUAUGUGCUUUACUGUAUGUUAUUUUGACAAACCACUAUCAUGGCUAACUGUUAAAGGGAAUAUGUUUGAAUAAUAAAUCAUAACUUAUAAUCCAA